GGCCAGACUCCUACGGGAGGCAGCAGUGGGGAAUAUUGCACAAUGGGGGAAACCCUGAUGCAGCGACGCCGCGUGAGUGAAGAAGUAUUUCGGUAUGUAAAGCUCUAUCAGCAGGGAAGAAAAAAGACGGUACCUGACUAAGAAGCCCCGGCUAACUACGUGCCAGCAGCCGCGGUAAUACGUAGGGGGCAAGCGUUAUCCGGAUUUACUGGGUGUAAAGGGAGCGUAGACGGCAAUACAAGUCGGAAGUGAAGUACCCGGGCUUAACCUGGGAACUGCUUUGGAAACUGUAUGGCUGGAGUGCUGGAGAGGUAAGCGGAAUUCCUAGUGUAGCGGUGAAAUGCGUAGAUAUUAGGAGGAGCACCAGUGGCGAAGGCGGCUUACUGGACUGUAACUGACGUUGAGGCUCGAAAGCGUGGGGAGCAAACAGGAUUAGAUACCCUCGUAC
rnacentral:rRNA from 1 species